GCGCCUAUAGCUCAGGGGAUAGAGCACCGGCCUCCGGAGCCGGGUUUUGCGGGGGUUCGAAUCCCUCUAGGCGCACCA
rnacentral:tRNA from 3 species